UGACCUCGGAUCAGGUAGGAAUACCCGCUGAACUUAAGCAUAUCAAUAAGCGGAGGAAAAACC
rnacentral:rRNA from 1 species